UAAUAGAGUGGUAAGAGAUUGGUUGAGCUGGGACAAACUAGGCAUUGGGUUUAGGAAUCUGCCUUUGUUGCCGAAGCAAGGGUGGCGCCUAAUCCAAAACCCUUAACAUGCAUCAUAUGCUUGGUAUAGUAUUGCACAGGCCAUGGAUGUGAUUAGAAAAGGUUCAAGAUGAAGGAUUGGGAAUCGAGACUCAGCGUGUGCCUGGCAAGACAAGUGGAUUCAUCAACCUCAUACAGUAUUAUCUCUCCACCGAAAAUUAUUUUGAAAAAUUCUUAUGUGAAUGAGCUUAUUAACCCAGAUUCUUAUUGCUGGGGUGUGGACUUAAUUGAUCAAAUUUUCUUGCCCUAGGAAACUAUUCGGAUUAAAAGCAUCCCUUUAAGUUCAAAUAGAAGGGACGACAGACUUUUUUGAGCUGGAACUGCGUGGGGGCAUUUUUACAGAAAAGAGUGCAAAUAUGAUAUGUUGUAGCAGAUGAAGCCCCCAAAAAGGGGAGCUUGCCAAAAAAUCAUACCUACACGAACAAAACUCUUUGAAAAAUGCAUUAUUUCCAGCUAUUCGUGUGGGAUGUGUUCAGCGGAGCCAGAAACUCUGCAUCAUUUACUGUGGAGCGGCUCUUUUGUGAGAUUUUUUUUUUUCUUUUUUUUGAGAUUGAUAUAGGCAUUACAGGAUGGAUUGAGAGAGUUGCAACUUAGGGAAGAUUUAUUAUUUAGAUGCUGAGAGAAAAACAUCGCUGACAGUAGAAAUUUUCUUCACUGGAGCCUGAUAUUGUGGAAUUGUUGAAAUGAAUCUCGCCUAAGGGAAUCCACGUGAACUCCAGAACAAACUUUCCACAAAGCCACAAGGGACGCACUGGAGUUCACUGAAGCCAAUCAAGCUGCCCUUGGGCACCCUCCCCUUCUAUCCAGUUUUCAAGGCUUUAUUUAGCUCAGCAAGGCGCUUUUGUUUGGCCUCAUUCUCAAUCUGCCUCUGGUACUCCAAAUGCUCUUCAAGCAUUCUUUGCUCUUUCUCCUCUUCAGAUGUAAGUUUCCUUUCCUGUUGCUCCAAAUCGUCAGUGGUUACCGGAUCCACGAUCUCAGGAUUAGGACGAUCAUCUCCGUCAUGUGCAGCUGGAAAGGAACUGAAGCACAGAACAGGAGAAAAUAUAAUGAGCUUUAUUUGAGCCUAGGGAUUGAGAGAACAUACUGCCAAAGAUAUAUGCAAUUCCAGUUUACAUAUGUUAUAGUCAAUGACAAUGUUAAAAGUAUGAACAAAGACUUAUAUUUGCUGCACAUUUUCCUGCAGCUCCUCGCUACCUCCAGCUGCCUACAAUAAGCAAAUUGUAUAUAAUUGGGAGUUUGGGACAUUUAUUUUCAUAAUAGAUUUUCUAUAUUUUGUGGGAACUCAGAACUCUCAGCAUAUCAUGUAUCUUUCUUUCUUUCUAUUUUGAAAAGCUACUUGUUUUAUCAACCACGAUCUUAGCUGUA